ACUUCAGUGAGGUCCUCCUCGGUGAGGGACGGUGCGGUGGGCUCCAUGGUGGAGGCGGGAGAUGGCGCUUCUUCCGGGUCCGGGAGCUCGGGCUGCGCCGCCCCGCCCUGGCUGGGGGCUUCGGCCUCCGGGUAAUGGGGAAGAAGGAGAGGAGGCGGAGCGGGUCGGGAGAAAGACGGCCGCCCCUUCGGGAACAGAGGGACUCGGGGGUCAAACCGUAGCGCUUCCGGCCCCGCCUCUGAGGUCGACGGCGACGCGAAUCUACGCGACGCGACGCGGAGCUCGGAGCAGCGUUCCUUCCCUCUCGUAGAGGCUCAGGCGCAGGCACCGCCCCACGGCGAGGCGCGUCGCUUAGCAGAGCCCGCCCUGUCUCUGCGGCAGCCUAUCGACGCCAGCCCGCGGGCCGAUCCUGUUCCCGCCCCCGACCGGAGCCUUUCGGGUGGCUCCGCCCACAGCGGGCGUUUCCUCAAGCCACGCCUGCGCAGGUCGUCGCAUCAUUUUCUUUUCCAAAAUUCAAAUCCGAAAAACAAUCGAAGUCAAGCCUUCUUCAUUUAACCUUUCUAAGAGACUGCAGAGUGAGGAUGAGUAAAGAAAUUAUAGAGUUCAUCUUUCAUCUUUUCCAACAUACUUCAGAAGAAGACAAAAACAACUGUGACCUCCUGUUUGGCAGUCCUAGAGCAUGAAGAAAUGAAUAAAGGCUCAAGAUAGC
rnacentral:lncRNA from 1 species